rnacentral:misc_RNA from 1 species
GAUGAAGAACGUAGCGAACUGCGAUAAGUAAUGUGAAUUGCAGAAUUCAGUGAAUCAUCGAGUCUUUGAACGCACAUUGCGCCCCCUGGCAUUCCGGGGGGCAUACCUGUCCGAGCGUCAUUGCUGCCCUUCAAGCCCGGCUUGUGUGUUGGGUCGUCGUCCCCCCCGGGGGACGGGCCCGAAAGGCAGCGGCGGCACCGCGUCCGGUCCUCGAGCGUAUGGGGCUUUGUCACCCGCUCGAUUAGGGCCGGCCGGGCGCCAGCCGGCGUCUCCAACCUUCUAUUUUACCAGGUUGACCUCGGAUCAGGUAGGGAUACCCGCUGAACUUAAGCAUAUCAAUAAGCGGAGGA